rnacentral:rRNA from 1 species
AUUGAACGCUGGCGGCAUGCCUUACACAUGCAAGUCGAACGGCAGCGGGGGAGAAGCUUGCUUUUCCUGCCGGCGAGUGGCGAACGGGUGAGUAAUACAUCGGAACGUGCCCUGUAGUGGGGGAUAACUAGUCGAAAGAUUAGCUAAUACCGCAUACGACCUGAGGGUGAAAGUGGGGGACCGCAAGGCCUCAUGCUAUAGGAGCGGCCGAUGUCUGAUUAGCUAGUUGGUGGGGUAAAGGCCUACCAAGGCGACGAUCAGUAGCUGGUCUGAGAGGACGAUCAGCCACACUGGGACUGAGACACGGCCCAGACUCCUACGGGAGGCAGCAGUGGGGAAUUUUGGACAAUGGGCGAAAGCCUGAUCCAGCAAUGCCGCGUGUGUGAAGAAGGCCUUCGGGUUGUAAAGCACUUUUGUCCGGAAAGAAAUGGCUCUGGUUAAUACCUGGGGUCGAUGACGGUACCGGAAGAAUAAGGAUCGGCUAACUCCGUGCCAGCAGCCGCCGUAA